UUCAAUUUGUUGCCGAACCGGAAAGUUUUCGUUUAGGUUUAUAUUGUUCCACGAAACCCCAUUCGCAGCUUGGACCUUUAAUCGUACCCUCCGGCGAUGGCCACAGAAGUACUGGUAGCUGCAACGAAUGGAAAUGGUCCGAGGUUAUCGAAAGUCGGAUUCGAUAUCCCGCGUUAUCGGUCUACUUCAAUAGAAAACAUGGGGGACCGCCAUUCGUUCUACCGAAAGUACCUAAACCCAACGGCAGUGGACGGAAGAUGAAAUGAUCAUUCUCAAGGAAACAGUUGGCCACUGUUUCACGUUUAACAGUUGAUGGGGCUGAAAAUGAAAGAGCGAGAAUUUCCUGCAUACCGAAGAAGUUUCCUGGUGUGUGGGCCUAAAUAUCCACUGGAAAUCACCCACCUUAAUAUCCUGAGCCGCCAAGCCAAUACGCGGCUUACCUGAUCGACUGCCGAGUCCUGACUGAGGAGGACGCACGAGUUCACCCAGAGAGAAUGUGCUGUUGUGUGCGUUCAUCCGUUUACGCCCCACACAUCUCUCUUCUUCUCAGGAAAAAAAAUUUAUUGAAAAAAAAAAUAGUAUGAUUGCAAUUAUGAAUUUUAUCUCCAU